rnacentral:tRNA from 1 species
GGAGAAGUACCCAAGAGGUCGAAGGGGACGGUUUGCUAAACCGUUAGUGGGGGUGACUCCAGCGAGGGUUCAAAUCCCUCCUUCUCCGCCA